rnacentral:rRNA from 1 species
GAUGGGUAUUUCCCGCAAGGGACCUCCUGCACAGGUGCUGCAUGGCUGUCGUCAGCUCGUGUCGUGAGAUGUUGGGUUAAGUCCCGCAACGAGCGCAACCUCGCCUUUAGUUGCCAGCACGUUUGGGUGGGCACUCUAGAGGAACUGCCGGUGACAAGCCGGAGGAAGGUGGGGAUGACGUCAAGUCCUCAUGGCCCUUAUGUCCUGGGCUACACACGUGCUACAAUGGCGGUGACAGUGGGAAGCUAGAUGGUGACAUCGUGCCGAUCUCUAAAAGCCGUCUCAGUUCGGAUUGUACUCUGCAACUCGAGUGCAUGAAGGUGGAAUCGCUAGUAAUCGCGGAUCAGCAUGCCGCGGUCGAAUACGUUCCCGGGCCUUGUACACACCGCCCGUCACACCAUGGGAGUUGGUUUGACCCGAAGCCGGUGAGCGAACCGCAAGGACGCAGCCGACCACGGUCGGGUCAGCGACUGGGGUGAAGUCGUAACAAGGUAAGCGUAGUGCU